CGAGACUCCGUCUCAAAAAAAAAUAGAUACAGAGAAGAUUAGCAUGGUCCCUGUGCAAGGAUGACACGCAAAUUUGUAAAGUGUUCCAUAAAAAG
rnacentral:snRNA from 1 species